rnacentral:lncRNA from 1 species
AGAUCAGCUUCCUGUCAGCCCACAUGCUUGGGGCCACAGGCAACAGGCAAUGCAUCUCAGAAAUAUUAGGGCUUCCACUACUGCUAUAGACGGAUGCAAAAUGAUCCAAUAACACAAGGGCCUAAACACCUUGAGAGAAAGCUCACACCUUCUACCUUUCAUAGACCAGCUGAUCCUAUGGGAAUGACUAUUCACCAAUGGCCUGGUUGAACACAGAAGCACACAAAGAUUCUGCUUGCUGGUUACUGGAACCAGCUUGGGUGUGUGCUGAGCCAUGUGUCUCUUACUGGAACCAGCUUGGCUCCAGUGUUACAGGAUCAUGCUGCCACCACUGGCCUUUCUCCACUUGGUCCUGGGGAUCCAAAUAGAGGUCCUCAUGCUUGAAGAGCAGUGACUUGGCCCAGUGAGCUACCUCCCCAGCCCUGUUCUAGGUGCUCUUGAACAAAGACUCCUUUGUCCAUGGGCCAAAACCAAACCCACAUACCGAAGCACCUUAAUGUUCCCUGAAGAAGGCAUCCCUAUACAAUCCUGUCUUCUGCAAGAAACACCAUGGUUUCAUGCUCUCAGAGACACUAGACAGUGCUUGACCUCUAGGCUGGGGAACCUGUUUCUACAAGAAAAUCAGGAGCAGAUACACAAAGAAAGCAUGCAGCUAUUUCCCGACAAGACUCAUUUACAGUCUGAGACCUAAGACGAUAGGGCAGAGCAUCCCUUCAUCUUGGCUGGGACCACCAUUUGCACUUAGCUACUGCUUCUCUUUGCACUUGGCUAUAGACAACUCCAAAGGUGUCAUAGCAUUGACUCUGUGUUUGCAAAUGAAUUUUAGCUACUGGCGAAACUAUGCAUAUGGGAUCUAAGAGUCAUGAGAAUAGACUGUGGAGUGUGCCACUGUG